CCGAUUUUUCUGGAGCACGUUAAGUUUUGUGUGGGUAAUGGGUCCGCUGUUCGUUUUUGGUUAGAUUGGUGGUCUGGGGAUGCUCCCCUGGCUGUUAGCUUUCCGGUUCUGUUCUCUUAUUGCCCCAAUCCGCAAAUCUCCAUCGCGGAGGUAGCUGCUAAUAAUUGGGACUUGGCUUUUCGUCGGGCCCUGUCUCCUGAAGAGUUGGAAGAAUGGCAAAGUCUUUCUGCCCUCUUCCCUGUGCUCUCGGAGGAGGCCGACUCGGUGGUUUGGCCGCUUACGGCCUCUGGUAUAUUCUCGGUCAAAUCGCUGUACUCUAGACUGAUUGGUGGUACUACUUCGGCUAGAUUCUCUUGUGUUUGGAAAUCUAAGGUCCCUCCUAAGAUUAAGAUUUUCCUCUGGCAAGCCUUCCGUGGUCGCCUCCCUUCUGCUGAUCAGAUCAAAAAACGCAACGGGCCG
rnacentral:rRNA from 1 species